rnacentral:rRNA from 1 species
UGGGGAAUAUUGCACAAUGGGCGCAAGCCUGAUGCAGCCAUGCCGCGUGUGUGAAGAAGGCCUUCGGGUUGUAAAGCACUUUCAGCGAGGAGGAAGGUGGUGAACUUAAUACGUUCAUCAAUUGACGUUACUCGCAGAAGAAGCACCGGCUAACUCCGUGCCAGCAGCCGCGGUAAUACGGAGGGUGCAAGCGUUAAUCGGAAUUACUGGGCGUAAAGCGCACGCAGGCGGUUUGUUAAGUCAGAUGUGAAAUCCCCGGGCUCAACCUGGGAACUGCAUUUGAAACUGGCAAGCUAGAGUCUCGUAGAGGGGGGUAGAAUUCCAGGUGUAGCAGUGAAAUGCGUAGAGAUCUGGAGGAAUACCGGUGGCGAAGGCGGCCCCCUGGACGAAGACUGACGCUCAGGUGCGAAAGCGUGGGGAGCAAACAGGAUUAGNUACCCUGGUAGUCCACGCUGUAAACGAUGUCGAUUUGGAGGUUGUGCCCUUGAGGCGUGGCUUCCGGAGCUAACGCGUUAAAUCGACCGCCUGGGGAGUACGG